rnacentral:rRNA from 1 species
AGUUCGUGUUUUGAAAUGUCUGGUUGAUUCCGUUAACGAACGAGACUUCCGCCUUUAAAUACGUGUGGAUAAGCGAGUGCUGCGGAGUUUGAGGUCAGAGGUGAGCCCGAUCCCGUGGGAAGGGUUUUAGUCCCCCUACGACGAUUGACAGUGCUGUGCUCUGGCUGAUCUGCUUACCGCUUGUUCAAGAUAUCACUUCUUAAAGGGACAAAUGACAAAAAGUCAUUGGAAGUUGGAAGCAAAAACAGGU